rnacentral:other from 1 species
CCUUCCCUGCCUUGCACGUGGCGUGCGCAAAUUUCGGGGCUCAAUGCUUCUGCAAUGGGAGCCCGAAUCCACGGCGGUGUGCAUGCCCCACGGCGUAUGCCGGCGGGGCAUCCUGAAGCCUUGGCUAGGGCGCCCACUUGGUUUACCAAGAGUUCCAGAGGCGCCGCACGUCACGGCAAGGCGGGGAUCAG